rnacentral:snRNA from 1 species
UCUUCAACCUGGCACUGAGACCAGGAUGAUCACGGACGCCCUGGCCCCAGGUGGAAGCUCGCCCUUGCACUCUGGCGAGUUGAAGCCUGCGACGAUCCCUAACUGGGCUCGCUCGCUCGGGCGCAUAGCUUUUGCCAUUGGGGAGGUCUUUGAACCACCCCUU